rnacentral:lncRNA from 1 species
UCCAUCUGUUGAUAUUCUUUAUAACCCUUAUAACAGGGGCCUUGACAGAUGAAGAUGUGAUAAGAGCUCUGUUGGGUGGGAGUGCGUCUUUUAAUUUUAAGGUUACAACAAACAUGAAAGUAACCCUAGCUGUAUGGAAAAAGUGUCCAAAUCAGAAGGUUUUUGUGUUCAGCCCCAUCCAUGGACUUACUAUAUUUGACAACAACUAUGCUGGUCGUCUUUCCGUAAAAUCUAACCACAGCAUUAUACUGGAUAAAUUACAAGAGAGUGACUUUGUGACUUACUGUUACGAACUCACCACUUUCCCAUAUGGGAGUCUUCAAGGACAAAAUAAGCUAGAGAAAAGGACAGAAAAUGGUGACGUGCCCAUCACGAUAAUCUCCGUGGGUUGCAGCAUAGGUUUAAUAGUGUUAUGUGGAAUCAUCGC